GGUGUCUUGUUGAAGAUGAAAUCCCACUAAAUUUGGUGUUUUGGUGUCUUGUUGUAGAUGGCCAUAGGAAAAUAUUAGCUGAAGCAGAAGAGAAAGUUCGUAUUAUGGGAAGAACAUGCGUUUUUGGUCAUUUGAUUAUUAAUACUGUUUUACGUUUUACGUUUCCUUCUCUCUUUUUCAGUAUGUUAUUGCUAGUUUAAAGUUGAUAGUUAUUAAUCAGUUUGCUCAAACACUAAAAGGCUUCAACACUACUAAUUAUACAAGCUACCUAUAUAGUACAUACCUCGUAUGUCGUAUUCAUAGAGAUUACUUCCGAAAUGCACGGUUUUAAUUCUGAACACUAUACAUAGAACGCAAUAAGAUGUUUUUUAAUCAAAGAUUUUAUAACUUAACUUUAUAAGAUCUUGUGAUAUUAUUAGGAUAAUGGCUGAUAAUUUGAUAAAUAAAAACUUCAGUGUUAAACAGUCAAAGAAGUUGUAGUAUAGUGGUAAAUAUUUCGCCUGUCACUCG
rnacentral:lncRNA from 1 species